UGGGGAAUAUUGGGCAAUGGGCGAAAGCCUGACCCAGCAACGCCGCGUGGAGGAAGAAGGUCUUCGGAUUGUAAACUUCUUUUAUGAGGGACGAAGGACGUGACGGUACCUCAUGAAUAAGCCACGGCUAACUACGUGCCAGCAGCCGCGGUAAUACGUAGGUGGCGAGCGUUAUCCGGAAUUACUGGGUGUAAAGGGUGUGUAGGCGGGAUUGCAAGUCAGAUGUGAAAUACCAAGGCUUAACCAUGGAGCUGCAUUUGGAAACUGUUUUUCUUGAGUACUGGAGAGGCAGACGGAAUUCCUAGUGUAGCGGUGAAAUGCGUAGAUAUUAGGAGGAACACCAGUGGCGAAGGCGGUCUGCUGGACAGCAACUGACGCUGAGGCGCGAAAGCGUGGGGAGCAAACAGGAUUAGAUACCC
rnacentral:rRNA from 1 species